rnacentral:rRNA from 1 species
AGGAUAAACGCUGGCGGCGUGCCUAACACAUGCAAGUCGAACGUCUCUUUCUUCGGGAAGAGGAGUGGCGGACGGGUGAGGAACACGUGGGAACCUGCCCUUCAGUGAGGAAUACCGGCGAGAAAUCGCCGACAAGACCGCAUAGCCCUCUCUGGUGAGAGCCAGAGAAGGAAAGCCUCGCAAGAGGCGCUGGAGGAGGGGCCUGCGUCCGAUUAGCUAGUUGGUGGGGUAAGAGCCUACCAAGGCGUCGAUCGGUAGCUGGUCUGAGAGGACGAUCAGCCACACUGGGAUUGAGAACGGCCCAGACUCCUACGGGGGGCAGCAGUGAGGAAUUUUCGGCAAUGGGGGAAACCCUGACCGAGCAACGCCGCGUGCAGGAAGACGGCCUCGGUUGUAACUGCUUUCUUGGGAGAGAACGGACGGUACCCGAGGAAUCAGCCCGGCUAACUACGUGCCAGCAGCCGC